UAAUUACAAUAUUCUAUGUUGGAUAAAAAAUAAUUUAUUCCCUUGCAUUACAACUUAUCAGUAUCACUUUCAGUUAAUUCGUAUCAUAUAACAAUUCUGACUCAUUAUUUAUUAACUUCUGACUUUCUAAACAGUCGGGUGAUUAGAAAACUAGUAAAAAUUUUUGCUGAUGUUAACGACUAAACAGCAAAAAGAUACAGAAAGUUAAUAACAUGAUAAUCUAUAUAAAAAGGAUGGCAUCAUCCGGAUCAACAUCACCUGUUGUCAUGGUAAUGAAGACGGUGCCAUAUAAAAAUUCACGUUCAUGAUGGGAAUAGCAAAAAUGUUACUUAAAGAAAAAGGCGAAGAUAAAAUUUAUUUUGGAAACAUGUCAGAUUUUCUAAUUCUCCUGACACGCUUGUCUUGGUUAACAUGUCCAUUAAUGAAAAAAGAAGAGAAAAGAAAGCGAACUUUGAUUUUCGACAGUGAAUAACGAAUAGACACAAUAGACUGUGAAUAGUCUUCAUCCUGUUGAAAGCCCAUCUAAACAAAGCUCUACAUCCAGAACAAUUAUAAAGAUGGUUUCUAUCAUAAUAUGAAUUAUAAAGUACUUACCUUGAAAUCUUACACCAUUUCUGCGCACCACAACUCUCCUGAAUUCGGCUCCAACAACUUGAUCACCAUAAACAACUCCUCUGGCAUCGGU